rnacentral:tRNA from 1 species
GAUCACAAUGGAUAGUGCGUUGGACUUCUAAUCCAAAGGGCGUGGGUUCAAUUACCACCU